UCUAAUGAGACUGCCGGUGGACAAACCGGAGGAAAGGUGGGGAGUGACGUCAAGUCCUCAUGGCCCUUAUAGGUAGGGCUACACACGUCAUACAAUGGCUGGUACAAAGGGUUGCCAACCCGCGAGGGGGAGCUAAUCCCAUAAAGCCAGUCGUAGUCCGGAUCGUAGUCUGCAACUCGACUACGUGAAGUCGGAAUCGCUAGUAAUCGUGGAUCAGAAUGUCACGGUGAAUACGUUCCCGGGUCUU
rnacentral:rRNA from 1 species